AUUGAACGCUGGCGGAAUGCUUUACACAUGCAAGUCGAACGGCAGCACGGACUUCGGUCUGGUGGCGAGUGGCGAACGGGGGAGUAAUGUAUCGGAACGUGCCCAGUCGUGGGGGAUAACGUAGUGAAAAUUACGCUAAUACCGCAUACGAUCUAUGGAUGAAAGCGGGGGAUCGCAAGACCUCGCGCGAUUGGAGCGGCCGAAAUCAGAGUAGGUAGUUGGGGGGGUAACGGCCCACCAAGCCAACGAUCUGUAGCUGGUCUGAGCUGACGACCAGCCACACUGGAACUGAGACACGGUCCAGACUACUACGGGAGGCAGCAGUGGGGAAUUUUGGACAAUGGGCGAAAGCCUGAUCCAGCCAUUCCGCGUGCAGGAUGAAGGCCCUCGGGUUGUAAACUGCUUUUGUACAGAACGAAAAGGUUUCUACUAAUACUAGGAGCUCAUGACGGUACUGUAAGAAUAAGCACCGGCUAACUACGUGCCAGCCGCCGCCGUAA
rnacentral:rRNA from 1 species